GUGUCAGCAGCCGCGGUAAUACGUAGGGGGCAAGCGUUAUCCGGAUUUACUGGGCGUAAAGCGCGCGUAGGCGGAAGUUUAAGUCUGGCCUGAAAGCCCCCGGCUCAACCGGGGAGAGUGGCUGGAAACUGGGCUUCUGGAGGGCGUUAGAGGAGAGUGGAAUUCCUGGUGUAGCGGUGAAAUGCGUAGAUAUCAGGAGGAACACCGAUGGCGAAGGCAGCUCUCUGGGGCGGCCCUGACGCUGAGGCGCGAAAGCGUGGGGAGCGAACGGGAUUAGAUACCCCCGUAGUCC
rnacentral:rRNA from 1 species